rnacentral:tRNA from 1 species
GGGCACGUGGCGGAAUUGGCAGACGCGUUGGACUUAGGAUCCAAUGGGGCAACCCGUGGGGGUUCAAGUCCCUCCGUGCCCA